AUGAAAAGCGAGGACCAGAGUGGACAGACCAAGCUUAAUGUCCAGAAUAAGACCAAGAGUCCAAAAGUCACCAGACGACUGAAAAGGUGUCUUUGGAUUUUCCCACCUCUUGACCUGGAGGAGGAUGCAGCUCCGGUCCCUGUGUCUGACUCCACCAGAGAACCACCAGAGACCAGGAUGUCAAAGAAGAAGACUUUCCCCAGACCACCUGUCACACAGGAUGCAGAGAAGUUUCAUGAUGGCCCAACUGACACCAGUAGGGAGGAGGAUGCAGCUCCGGUCCCUGUGUCUGACUCCACCAGAGAACCACCAGAGACCAGGAUGUCAAAGAAGAAGACUUUCCCCAGACCACCUGUCACACAGGAUGCAGAGAAGUUUCAUGAUGGCCCAACUGACACCAGUAGGCAAGUAUCAAACAUUCUAAAUGCUCAGUUCUCGUUUUUUGUUAUAAAAAAAUCGUAUUAACACACCUGACAUGCAUCUAAACCCAUUUCCAUUGUUUUAGCCCCAAUAUCACCCCAAAGAGAAUGUGCCUUUUCCCAACCCUGUGAGUAACAGAGUCACACAAUUGAAUUAAAUGAACAAUUCAUGAUUUGUGAGUGUGAC
rnacentral:lncRNA from 8 species